CCAUGCAGUUCGAGCGGUAGCACAGAGAGCUUGCUCUCGGGUGACGAGCGGCGGACGGGUGAGUAAUGUCUGGGAAACUGCCUGAUGGAGGGGGAUAACUACUGGAAACGGUAGCUAAUACCGCAUAAUGUCGCAAGACCAAAGUGGGGGACCUUCGGGCCUCAUGCCAUCAGAUGUGCCCAGAUGGGAUUAGCUAGUAGGUGGGGUAACGGCUCACCUAGGCGACGAUCCCUAGCUGGUCUGAGAGGAUGACCAGCCACACUGGAACUGAGACACGGUCCAGACUCCUACGGGAGGCAGCAGUGGGGAAUAUUGCACAAUGGGCGCAAGCCUGAUGCAGCCAUGCCGCGUGUGUGAAGAAGGCCUUCGGGUUGUAAAGCACUUUCAGCGGGGAGGAAGGCGUUGAGGUUAAUAACCUUGUCGAUUGACGUUACCCGCAGAAGAAGCACCGGCUAACUCCGUGCCAGCAGCCGCGGUAAUACGGAGGGUGCAAGCGUUAAUCGGAAUUACUGGGCGUAAAGCGCACGCAGGCGGUCUGUCAAGUCGGAUGUGAAAUCCCCGGGCUCAACCUGGGAACUGCAUUCGAAACUGGCAGGCUAGAGUCUUGUAGAGGGGGGUAGAAUUCCAGGUGUAGCGGUGAAAUGCGUAGAGAUCUGGAGGAAUACCGGUGGCGAAGGCGGCCCCCUGGACAAAGACUGACGCUCAGGUGCGAAAGCGUGGGGAGCAAACAGGAUUAGAUACCCUGGUAGUCCACGCCGUAAACGAUGUCGAUUUGGAGGUUGUGCCCUUGAGGCGUGGCUUCCGGAGCUAACGCGUUAAAUCGACCGCCUGGGGAGUACGGCCGCAAGGUUAAAACUCAAAUGAAUUGACGGGGGCCCGCACAAGCGGUGGAGCAUUUGGUUUAAUUCGAUGCAACGCGAAGAACCUUACCUGGUCUUGACAUCCACAGAACUUAGCAGAGAUGGUUUGGUGCCUUCGGGAACUGUGAGACAGGUGCUGCAUGGCUGUCGUCAGCUCGUGUUGUGAAAUGUUGGGUUAAGUCCCGCAACGAGCGCAACCCUUAUCCUUUGUUGCCAGCGGUUCGGCCGGGAACUCAAAGGAGACUGCCAGUGAUAAACUGGAGGAAGGUGGGGAUGACGUCAAGUCAUCAUGGCCCUUACGACCAGGGCUACACACGUGCUACAAUGGCAUAUACAAAGAGAAGCGACCUCGCGAGAGCAAGCGGACCUCAUAAAGUAUGUCGUAGUCCGGAUUGGAGUCUGCAACUCGACUCCAUGAAGUCGGAAUCGCUAGUAAUCGUAGAUCAGAAUGCUACGGUGAAUACGUUCCCGGGCCUUGUACACACCGCCCGUCACACCAUGGGAGUGGGUUGCAAAAGAAGUAGGUAGCUUAACCUUCGGGAGGGCGCUUACCACUUUGUGAUUCAUGACUGGGGUGAAGUCGUAACAAGGUAACCGUAGGGGAACCUGCGGCUGGAUCACCUCC
rnacentral:rRNA from 1 species